rnacentral:rRNA from 1 species
GACGAACGCUGGCGGCGUGCUUAACACAUGCAAGUCGAACGGAAAGGCCCUGCUUUUGUGGGGUGCUCGAGUGGCGAACGGGUGAGUAACACGUGAGUAACCUGCCCUUGACUUUGGGAUAACUUCAGGAAACUGGGGCUAAUACCGGAUAGGAGCUCCUGCGGCAUGGUGGGGGUUGGAAAGUUUCGGCGGUUGGGGAUGGACUCGCGGCUUAUCAGCUUGGUGGGGGGGUAGUGGAUUACCAAGGCUUUGACGGGUAGCCGGGCUGAGAGGGUGACCGGCAACGUUGGGACUGAGAGGCGGCCAAGACUCCUACGGGCGGCAGUAGUGGAGAAUAUUGCACAAUGGGCGGAAGCCUGAUGCAGCAACGCCGCGUGCGGGAUGACGGCCUUCGGGUUGUAAACCGCUUUCGCCUGUGACGAAGCGUGAGUGACGGUAAUGGGUAAAGAAGCACCGGCUAACUACGUG